CAGCAGCCGCGGGAAUACGUAGGUGGCAAGCGUUGUCCGGAAUUAUUGGGCGUAAAGGGCUCGCAGGCGGUUUCUUAAGUCUGAUGUGAAAGCCCCCGGCUCAACCGGGGAGGGUCAUUGGAAACUGGGAAACUUGAGUGCAGAAGAGGAGAGUGGAAUUCUACGUGUAGCGGUGAAAUGCGUAGAGAUGUGGAGGAACACCAGUGGCGAAGGCGACUCUCUGGUCUGUAACUGACGCUGAGGAGCGAAAGCGUGGGGAGCGAACAGGAUUAGAUACCCCUGUAGUCCCUGUCUCUUAUAC
rnacentral:rRNA from 1 species